rnacentral:rRNA from 1 species
CGUUCCUACCGGAGGCAGCAGUGCGGUAUAUUAUACUAUGCGAGAAAGCCUGAUCCAGCAAUGCGGCGUGAGUGAAGAAGGCCUGUUGGUUGUAUAGCUCUUUUACCCGGGACGAUAAAUACGGUCCCGAGAGAAUAAACCCCGCCUAAUUACGUCCCAGCAGCCGCGGUAAUAAUGAGGGGGCUAGCGUUGUUAUCAAUUAUCGGGGGUAAAACAGGGGUAGUAGGCCAUUUAAGUCAGAGGUGAAAACCCAGGGCUCAUCCCUGGAACUGCCUUUGAAAAUAGAUGCCUUGAACACGGGAGAAGCGGAAGGAAUUCUUACCGUAGAGGUGAAAUUAGUCGAUAUUCGGAAGAACCCCACUCGUGAAGGCGGCCUCCUUGACGACAGUUAACGACGAGGUGGGAAAACAUGGGGGGGAACCAGGAUUAGAUGCCCCGGUAUCCCUCCCCGUAAAAAAUGACGCAUAGCUGGUGGGGCCCUUAGCGCGUCAGUGCCGCAGCUAACGCAUAAGUAUCAGCCUGGCAGCCGCGAUUGUUU